rnacentral:lncRNA from 1 species
UUCUUUUCAAUUUUUAAAUAAAAGGAUAUUACAUUUCAGCACGUUUAAAUUUAUAUUCUUCUACAUCGAUAAUAAUAUUAAUAUCAACUGAAUUAAAAUUCAUCGAUAAUAUCUCAAAUAUAAUUUUGAGUGCUGACUAAUUAUUGAUGCGAAAGCAUAUGUUUUUUUUUUCUUUUCUUUUCCGUUUUUUUUUCCGGGGGAAACGUGCCAAAUAUGGAAACAAAGAUGAUUUGGGCAUGCUUUACAUUUGUCAAAAUGUCUGGCAGCUGUAGACUAACUUGUAAACGUGACCAAGUUGCUA